GACGAACGCUGGCGGCGUGCCUAAUACAUGCAAGUUGAGCGCUGAAGGUUGGUACUUGUACCGACUGGAUGAGCAGCGAACGGGUGAGUAACGCGUGGGGAAUCUGCCUUUGAGCGGGGGACAACAUUUGGAAACGAAUGCUAAUACCGCAUAAAAACUUUAAACACAAGUUUUAAGUUUGAAAGAUGCAAUUGCAUCACUCAAAGAUGAUUCCGCGUUGUAUUAGCUAGUUGGUGAGGUAAAGGCUCACCAAGGCGAUGAUACAUAGCCGACCUGAGAGGGUGAUCGGCCACAUUGGGACUGAGACACGGCCCAAACUCCUACGGGAGGCAGCAGUAGGGAAUCUUCGGCAAUGGACGAAAGUCUGACCGAGCAACGCCGCGUGAGUGAAGAAGGGUUUCGGAUCGUAAAACUCUGUUGGUAGAGAAGAACGUUGGUGAGAGUGGAAAGCUCAUCAAGUGACGGUAACUACCCAGAAAGGGACGGCUAACUACGUG
rnacentral:rRNA from 1 species